rnacentral:lncRNA from 1 species
GCCGUCAGAGCUGGAAGUAAACACCGGCUUCCUGUUGACCCACGCUAGCUCCCUGGCUGGGACAGGUUGAUGGUGAACUGCAAUGACUUACUAUGAAUUGCAAAAACAUACUAACAGGAAGCUACAGGACGAAGGAGUGUGGCGUCUCCAGGUGCUUCCAGAGUUGAGGUCCCUUAAGCAUCUUCCUCUCCCUCCUCAGCUACGGCACAGGUCUUCCCCACACAGGCAGCGUCUCGCCACUGGAUCAGCCAACACAGUACCCCCACGAGAACCUCAAAGCUCUUUUCCAGAACGCAGCUUCAGAUCCCUACAAUGUCUCAAGUACGAGAAAAGGGAGCUAAAGGGACAGCUCAAGGUUUAAAAGCACCAGCUGCUGCUCUUCCAGGACUUGGAUUUGAGUCUCAGCAACUCCAGUUUCAGGGGCUCCGAGUCCCCUCUUCUGGCCUCCUUGGCACCAGGGACACACGUGGAACACAGAUUCGCGUGCAGGCAAAAUGCCCAUACACUCAAAAUAAUUUUCUUUAAAAGAAAGCAACAUGUUGAAGCCUGGGAGCCAGAGUGGGUUUUCUGAAGUGAGACCCUCCUCACAUCACAAUGGAAGGUUGGUGCCUGCCUCUAUCCCUCCUCAGACAGGACAACAGCCUCCUUGUGGCCUUUCUCUGCCUUUGGGUAUUCGUGUCACCUGGCUACAGGAACAGAAUUCAAUCCAGGCCAUUUGAGAACAACCCCAAGGGUGUUGGGAUAGACAAACUUUAUGUCUCAGUCAAGCUGGGCUUUAAAAGUCACUGUUUGUCCCCUCUGUCCAUUCUGUGUGUCCUGGG